rnacentral:tRNA from 1 species
AAGAUAAAAAAUUAAGAAUAAGCUUCUAACUUAAUUCUUUAGCAGUGAAAUUCUGUUAGUAUCUUU